AUCCAGCCCUGGAUGGCACGUCUGGUCUCUGCAUUCAUCGUGGGCAAGGUCUCUCCUGCAGGCGGUGACCUUUAGCAGAGCUGGGCUGGAGGUUGUCAUCCAAACAAAUGAGAGCUGACCUGGAACGUCUUUUUAACUCAGCAUCUCAUGUCCCGAGCCUCUGAAAGCGGCUGCAAGAGCAGCCAAGCCAAAGGAGCCGGGUCCCUUGUAUGCUGCAGCCAAGAGUGCAAAUGGGGCCUUGCCAUCUUCCUUUGCUUCUCCAGCGUCCUCCCUGAUGCCUUCUCGGGGCAGCACAUACAGGUCUGAACUUGGAGGGCCGCAACUUGAUCCGCUCUUGUCCACAUUUGGUGUAUAAACAUCUCUGUAGACUGUUUUCAAGAGACUACUCUCAGAUCUUCCUUCACACUGAGGUGUUGACGACUGGUUACUCUCUAACACAGCUAUUCUCAUCAGACUGUGAGAUGGACAGUAGCACACACUCUCCAAUCAACAAGGAAUCUAUGAAAAUCUGAAUUUUCACAGAGUCUGGUGAAAUGAGUUUGACGGGGUUCAGGACACACUACCCCAGAACAUGAUCCCAAGCCAAAAACCUAGAAGAGUAGAAGGAAAAAAAACUGGGGGGCUGAAAGGAAAGGAACACAAAAACAUCUGUUUGAAGGACAUAAUGAUUGAAAAUUUUCUGAUUUGAUGAAAACUAUAGACCAAUAGAUUCAAGAAACUCAAGAAACCCCAAAUACAAGAAACAUGAAGAAAACUACCUCUAAAACGCUUGAAGUUGAGCGAAUACGCAUUUAUUUACUCUAUAUAUGUAAGACUAGACAUGAAUUAAAAUAAAACAAAAUCUAUCCUCUGCUAACAGAGAAAGCCUUAGAGGCCCUCUGACUGUCUUCAUGGGUAUUGUGGAUGAGCCAAGGAAAUGCAAGACAGUUGUUGUCCUCAAGUAGGUUUUGAGCUACCUGAGCACACUUAUGUUGGAAAGACUAUUACUCAACUCCACAAUAUCCAUUCCCUCUUCUUGCAUUGCUGCCAGAACCCCAGUUGUGUCCAAAUAGCCACGUCUUUCCCACAUGACUCCAGAAGGAAAGACCAUAUCCCCAGACCCAGGAAUAGAUCCUGAUUUAUUCAGUCACGAAGAUCUGAUUCCCCUUGAUAGCAAUUCACAUGAAGGUGGCUAUAUGACCCGCAUGACAAGAGAUGUCGAGGGAAGUAUAUUGGAGGAUUUCUGAGAAAGAUUCUUUACUUCCAAAAGAGAUAAGAGGAAGAGACAAUCUCUUCUUCCUUUGGACACUGAUGUGCCUGAUGCCUGGAACUUCUGUACUCAAUCUGCAACUAAGUAAGGGCCAGUCUGAGGUCAGAGUCAAUAGCCUGAGAAUGAUGGAAAGAAUUUGGAUCUUUGAUGAUGCUGUUGAGCUGCUGAAUUAACCAACCAUGAAGCUCCUGUACCAGGGAACUUUUUCUUGUAUGAAAUAAUACAUUUUCUUAUUGUUUAAAUCAAUUCAAAUUGGUUUUUAUAUUCCUUGCAGCCCAAAAUAUUCUACCACCAAUAACUAAAUAUUUACAUAACUAAUUCUAUCACCUUGGGUGGAUAACUACUCUCCAGGCUUCACUUUCCUUUUUUUUUUUUUUAGUGAGGAAGAUUGGCCCUAAGUUAACAUCUGUUGCCAAUCUUCCACUUUUUGCUUAAGGAAGACUGUCACUGAGCUAACAUCCAUGGCAAUCUUCCUCUAUUUUGUAUGUGGGAUGCUGCCACAGUGUGGCUUGAUGAGCAGUGUGUAGGUCCGUGCCAGGAUCUGAACCCGCAAACUCUGGGCUGCUGAAGCAGGGUGCAUGAACUUAACCAUGACACAACUGGGCUAGCCCCCUAGGCCUCACUUUUUUCCCAUGGAAAGCGAAGAAUAUGGAUAAAACAAAUUCUACCGUUCCUUUUAGCCCUAACAAAUUCACCUUAAAUGUAACUGAUUAUUCUAGCAGUCAGUCAUAACUGUCAUGUGUGUGAUUCAGGUACUCUAUGACUCAGCAAUUCAUCUUCUAGGGAUAUGCCCUAGAGAAAUUAGUGCGUAUGUCUACCAAAAGACACUACAAGAAUAUGCGUAGAAGCUUUAUUCACAGUAGUCAAGAUCUAGAAACAAUCCUGUAUCAGAGUUCUCCAGAGAAACAGAACCAAUAGGAUAUAUAUAUAGAUAUAUUAAGAAAUUUAUUUUAAGAAAUUGACCCAUGAACUUGUGGAGGCUAGCAUGUCUGAAAUCCGUAGGGCAGGUCAGCAGGCUGGAAACUCAGGCCGGAGCUAAUGCUGCAGGCUUGAGGCAGAAUUUCUUCUCUGGGAAACCUCGGUUUUUGUUCACAAGCCCUUCAAUUGAUUGGAUAAGUGCCCCCCCCCCCGCCCCCCACUAUCAAGGGUCAUCUUCUUUACUUAAAGUCAACUGAUUGUAGAUGUUACCACAUCGACAAAAGACCUUCACGGCAACACCUCGCUUAGUGUUUGAUUAAAUAACUGGGUAAUAUAACCUAGCCAAGUGGAUACUUAAAACUAACCAUCACAAACUGAAUGUCCAUCCACAGGAGAAGGAAUAAAUAAAUUGUGGUAUCUUCAGGCAAAGGAAUGCUACAUAGCAAUAAAAAGAAUAAAAUGCUAAUAAACAACAACAUGGAUGAAUAUCAUGGACAAAUAUCACAGGGUGAAGAAGCCAGAUACAAAACUACAUACUAUAUGAUCCAUUUACAUAAAUUUUAAGAGUAGGCAAAAUUCACUGAUGGUAAUAGAAGGCUGAGGGGAGUUGUGGACUGGGAAGGGGCACAAGGAAAUCUUCUGAGUGCUGGAAAUGUUUGAUAUCUUGACCUGAUGGCUACACAGGUAAUACAUAUAUAAAAAUUCAUCAAGCUGUACACUAAAAUUCUACUUUAACACUUAAAAAUAAUAAUCAAAAAAAAAAAGAAAAAAGCGCUACGGGAAUCUAGAGUGAGAGAGACAAUUCUGGUCUAAAAUGACGAGAAGUCUUCAUGGAGACUGUGGGCUCGCGCUGGCCUUUGAAGGAUGAGUGGAAUCUCAGAGAUUAAGAGAGGAAUUAAACAAAGUUACGGCAGAGGAAAUGCAAAGACAUGCCAGAUGAUGAUGAUUUUUUUUUUCCCCUUAAGGAUGCCACUUUUACUCAGGAAACAGUGAAAUAAAUACCACACGUCAGACGUAAUGUAGACUAGCAGUUACGAGCACAGGCUUUGGGGCCAGGUAUUUGUGGGUUUGAAUCCUGCCUCUGAUGCUUGCUGGUUUGAAUAAGUGCUCUGGACGUGCUUUCUCAUUUGUGAAGUACUUCACACUCUAUGUACGUCCUAGGGUUGUGGAGAGAAUUAAACAGAAUAAUAUACGUGAUAUGCGUGGCACAGUGCUGUGCACACAGAGUGAGCCCUCAAUAAACAGGAGCCACUGCUACUACUACUUCUAUAACUGCCAUUCUGGGCCUUGUGGUCCCCUUCACUUGAGGGUGGUACUGCCCAAGGGAAGGGGAAUGGCCUCACGAUCUCUUCGGGUUCUUUCAAGCCCUCAGAUCUCUAAUUCCUAAUAAAAUCUAAAUGACCAAAUCAGAGCAGAUGAAUGACUAAGGUUUGACUCUUCCGAACCAUGUUGGUAUCAUUUCCCCCCCAUAGUCUAGUCCAUGAUCAUUCCUAAAUAUAAUCCUUGAUCAUGCCAGCAUACAUCUCUGUCCCAGAUAGGAAGAUGUAGGACAGCUCAUGCUCCAAAUGAUCUUACAUGUUGGUUGUCACACACACUGACGCACAGAGAAUCCUGAAGAACGUAUAAAAGUCCUUUACUUUGGGUGUACAUCAUACAUCCCAUCUCUUUAGAAACUACAAGGAGAGUUAGAGAUGUGGGAGUGCUCACAUGUUCUUUCCAGUAGUAACCAGUCCCCACCCUACUGCCGCUUAAUUGGUUUUCUCUUAAUUGAAGUAAAAUUUACAUGACAUAAAAUUAACCAUUUCAAAACGUACAAUUCAGUGGCAUCUAGUACAUUCACAGCGAGUGCAACCACCACCUCUGUCUCAUUCCAAAACAUUUCAUCUCCUCAAAGGGAAACUCUGUACCCAUCAAGCAGCCAUUCUCCAUUCCCUCUUUCCUCCUGACAACCACUGAUCUGUUUUUUGACUCUAUGGAUUUACCCAUUCUAGAUAUUUCAUAAAAAUGAGAUCAUACACUAUGUGACCCGCCACUUAGUUUUUGCAUUGGCCUUCUUGGCCGUGUUUAAAUAUUUGCUCCCUCGUGAUUGCCAGAGAAACUUCUUCACCCUUGAAUUGCCUCCUCAACAGCCCGUUAGGCCUUUCACCUCCUUUUGCUUUCAUCUCUAAGGUCUUACUUCCUCUUAGCUUAUCUGACCUUCAGUUCCAUGCGGUUUCACUCUAGAGCUGUGCUGUCCAGUACUAGCCACUAGCCACAUGAGGCUAUUUAAAUUAUGAAUUAAAACUAAAUAACAUUAAAAACUCAGUAUCUCAGUCACACAGCAACAUUUCAAGCGUCCAACAGACACACGUGGCUAGUGACUUCCAUAUGGGUCAGCACAGAUAAAGAACAUCACCAGCAUAGAAGAAAGUUCUAUUGAAUAGCACUGCUCUAGAGGGCACUGGAUCCUGGCAAGUGGAGAAUGGGAUUAGGGAAAGAGAACUUCACAGGGGUCUGCCUUCAGGGUAUGGGACCUCUAAAAUUAUUUGACCUUCUGCACUGCCCCGGACUCCUCCUGUAGAGUCACCCACUGUCUAUGUGAAUGCCACCCCCCCCCCUCCCCCGCAAAUUGUGCAGUGCACAGCCUAUACCCAGCCAUGCUAGAAGAAUGUCUGUCUCUGCCUGUCAUCCCAUCCUGUAGGCACCCAACUCCAUAAACAAAAGGGAAGGAGAAAAAAACCCUUCCCACCACAUCUGUUUGCUAUCUUAGUUUUUAAAUUCUCAAAUUAGACUAUAAACUCCUUGAGGGCAGCCCGCAUGUUUUCUUUACCCAUGUUCCCUACAUGAAAACAUCCAGCACACAGAUAUGCAUCCAGCAGGCAUACAGCCAAGAUUUGCAGAUUAACCAGUUGAUUGAAACAUUCAAUUUACAUGACAUAAAAUUAAAUAAAUUUUGCUUGAAAAUUAAAUAAUAAAUUUGGCUGACUCUGGGGGUAUCUGUACCCUAAGAUUCCUCUUGGUUGGGGGCGAGGGGUGCCCUCUCCAUACUGACCCUUGUUCUGCCCUCCAGUGAUGCACGCAGGACAGAGAGGGGCAAUGGGUGUUUGGCCUUGCACUUCGGAAUGUUCAUUACGGCCUCUCCUCUAAGCCUCUAACUAUUGCACUAUGCUCAUUCCACGACUAAAACAAUUAUCACUUGUAGUAGGAAGAUUUACUGCAUGUAAAAACAGUUACCUGCAUGUGUCUGCCUUCCCCAGCAGAGUGUGAAAACUUGAUGCAACACUAGCACAUUAGAAGGCAUUCAACAGUUCAGGGUAAAAAAUAAACAAACAUAAACAAACAUGUGAAUGAAAGAGAUCCUUUUCAGGUAGGAGGUAGAAACUGCAGCUAGAGAAAUGAAGGCAGCCAGAAUGGGGACACUCCAGGGCAGUGCAGAGAAGGAGGGGGCAGAGUCUGGGGCCUGGGCACAGUUGUCAUGUGUUCCAUUUCCUGUGCGACAGACUCCCUCUAACCUGGCCAGACCUGAUGCAAACCCUCCAUCCCUCCCUACUCCAGGGUGGAAAAGAACAUGUUUCUGCUUUCAGAUUUACUUGUUAGAAUCUUUGCCUCAGGAGGCAAAACAAAAUUAUAGCCAAGCCUACACGUCAAUGAGCUGUCUUGUGAUAGAAAACAUCAAACAACACUUUUGCACUUUGGAUUUUGAUCCACAAUAAAACUGUCCGCUAGAAACCAAUAUUGACUUCUCACCACCUCCAGGUCAGUAGAUCUUAAUGAAUCUUGAUGUGACCUCCUCUUUCUCAACUGCCUGUCACACCCAUGCAUAUGCAUUCCCCUUCAAACCCUUUCUAGGUGAUUAAUUAGAGAAUUUCCUCCUGUCCAUUAAAACACAGAUAGUAGCAUUUAGAUGUCUGGAGGCCAUGUUGUUCUUAGGGUAAUGGUAACGUCUGCUUUUAGCAGCUCUAGUGGCACUUGGCAGAAGCUCCCACGUUGCUUCAGUUCCAGGUAGAUCGUGUGCUUUGCUUAAGGCAGCCUCUGGCCACUGGGUAACAGGGAUGGGAGGAAUUCUCUAGGCUCGGACCCUGUAGCCUGGAAAGCAACUGGAGAAGUCACAUUGCACUGAUUUCACAUGUCCGUCGUCCCCCAGAUGUAUUCCUCCCUCCUUAUUGCCUAGUAAUUAGUACCUGAUCACGCUGGAAGUGCCAAGCACUAUGUCCUUUACCUGCGUGGUCUCACUUGUUCAUCUGGACAGAUCUAUGAUGUGGUACUACUACAACAAUCCCCAAUACCGACAAGAAUGUGAGCCAUGGAGAGGUUAGUUAAUUUACCCAAAUCCACAUGGAUAGUAGCUUGCUGAGUGUGACCUGAAACCAGUUCCGUCUGACCCCUAAAUCCUUGCUCUUAACCUCUGUGGCAUAAGGUCUACGCCAUGUUGCUUCUCAUGUUAGUUGAGUUCUUAAUAGUUUUAGUUUAAAGAUGAGGAAAACUGAGGCUUAGAGAAGGUAAGGAACUUAUUAUCCAGGUUCAUCCAGCUUAUAAGAGUGACGCUAGGGUUCAAACCUUGGCCCGGCUGACUGCAGCACCUAGCCAUAGUUGACUGGGAUUGCAUUUUCUGCCCACACCUUUGCUGACACUGGUCCCACCCCCAUCUUCCACCUAGUCCUCUCAGCUCUUAGCAAAACAUGUCCCCACUUCCCAUCCUUGAAUCCCAUUUUUUCUGCCUAAUAAAUAUUCUCCUUCUGGCCCUCCUCAAGACCUAUGUGCUCCAGGAACUCCCGAGAAGAGAGCUCUUAAAGCUCUACUUGUCUCAGCCAUCCACUGGUCAGGCCUCAAUACCACUGUGUGUCACCAUGUGGAUUUACGCUGUGUGCCAUGAGCACUGACAGUUGAGAUGUCUGAACUCCUGAGCUGGACCACGUGCUCCUUGGUCCUGUGCUUCUUUGCACCAUUCCCUGCACACCGUGCCUGGCACUCAGGAAGGGUGAACAUCUGAGGAUGGUUAGUUGAAAUGAUGUCGGGAAGUUCAGCAGGUAUUUAUUUAAUGUUCACUGUGUGCUGUCUGCUGUGCAAGGCUGUCUCACACAUGUCACCUCACUUAAGCCUAUUUACACUACUCUUGCAUGCUCACGCUAUAUUGAAUAGCUUCCAGGGAGGCAAGAUUCAGGUCUCUGGGGAGAGGAAGAGAGGAACUGGAAAGAGCAGAGCUACUUUUAAAGAGUCAUGAGAUAUCAUCACAAGGAUCCAAGCCUUCCAAGGUCACUGAAAGGCUCACUCAAGGAACGCUUCUUUCCAUUUGAGAUAAUAAUCAUGGUAAUAGUCACAGCUGGCCAUUUUUGAGAGCUUAUAAUGUGCUAACUCUUGUUCUUGGUGCUUUACAAAUAUUAACCAAAUAACCCUCACCAUACCUUAUGAGGAGGUAGGUCCUAUUCUUACUCCCACUUCACAAAUGAGGACUCUGAGGUACAGAUCUGGUAAGUGACUAACCCAGGAUCACACUAAUAAGUGGAGGAGAAGGGAUUUGAACCCACACACUCUGGCUUCAGAGCCUACAGGCUUAGCCGAGACGCUUGGCAGGAGCAGAGGGCACUGGUCAUCAGCGCAGAUGACUGGAAUCCAGUGGGAUGAAGGCUGGUUGGUGAUGAUCACCACACUGUGUUCUCCUAUGCAAUACUUACUAAGUGUUUUCUGUGCUGUUUCUGACACUGGGCCAGGUAUUGAGCAUAUGGGAUAAGUAGAAUCCAGUUCCUGACCUUGAGAGGCUCUCAGUCUCAAGUGCAGACAGCCCUGUAUAAGGGCUGUGAUGGCUGAGACGUGGGAGUCCAGGGGGGGAAGCCUCCCCUGCCCGGCAGGAUUUAUAGAGAGAGGAGGCAUUCAUCUGGCACUAGAAGAGUAAAAGUUGUGGUUCCAGCUUUGUCUCUUUGCCUCCCAGUUCUGUCCAGGAAAUACCUGAAGGUCAAGGACCGUGUUUUACUUAUCUUCAUGUUCCCAAGUGCCAGCACGAUGAAUGGUACAUAGUGUUCAAUAAAUGUACAUGGAAUAAAUGAAGGAGUAAACUGAGUAAACAGAAUUGAUUUUAAAGAACUCUAAUUUGGGAGCGGAAGCAGGUAAAACAAACUUUUAGGAGCUUUGGGUAGAAAUAAAAACCAGAGCGAGUGGUGCAGUAUGGGAAAAAAAUCCCUGAAUCCAACACUGCUGAGACUGGGCAAGUCUGCUGGAAUUCUCUGCUCUCUGUCCUGUCCCUCUCUGCUGUCUGGAAGGGCUGAGGGCAGAGUGGCUGAUCCCCGUAGGGUCCUCAGUGAUGCUGCCACUGUGUCUGGAACCUGGGCAGAAAGGCUGCUUCCCAGAGAAAGUUACUAGUGCGUGUAAUCAGGUAACAUACAUCACUCAAGGAAGCACUCCAAACCUGCGGAUUUCAUGCUGACUGGCAGCUUCCUGCACCUCCAGCUUCCAGCCAGCAGAGUGGGACCUGCAUGAUUUUAUCACCCAUCACAGGUCACCUUUGGGCCUCCUCAGAUUAUUCUCAAAGUGGAGAGGGAAUGAUGAAACCCCAAAGUCAAGCUCUCUGUUUUUAAUGUCACCUUUGCCACCAGCACCACCUAAGGGACUGGGAAAGACCUUUUUUUUUCUUUAAAAUUCAUUGAUUAUCAUUAUCUCAAAUUUUAAAACCUGGACUGAAAAAAAGAAAAAGAAAAACCUAAAUAUCUA
ensembl:lncRNA